rnacentral:misc_RNA from 1 species
AGAAAGUAGCCCCUGCGGUGAAUAUAGUGAAGGAGGGGCUGUUACCUUGUCACAGCUGCACCUUAUUGAUUUGGCAGGUUCUGAGAGCUCAAAGGCUGAAACCACCGGUGUACGCCGAAAGGAGGGAUCUUACAUCAACAAAAGCCUACUGACUCUUGGAACUGUUAUUUCUAAGUUAACUGAUGGGAAAGCUACUCAUAUACCAUAUAGAGAUUCAAAAUUGACCAGGCUUCUUCAAUCAUCAUUAAGUGGUCAAGGACG